GCGGGUGUAGCUCAAUGGUAGAGCCCCAGCCUUCCAAGCUGGUCACGAGGGUUCGAUUCCCUUCACCCGCU
rnacentral:tRNA from 2 species